GAGAAGCGUGCCCUUGGCUGAGGACAAGAAUCUGCGUGAUGUUUUCUUUGACCUUGAGAAUGCGUUUUGCUUGCCCUGCAGAGCAGGAGAGGAGCUGGAACUUUCCCGUUUGGCUCUGUCAGCCAAGUGCAGCUUUCAAGUUCUCUAGGGACUGCUGUAUUUUCUCAUGAAUUCCAAAUACUACAACUCCCGGUGUGACAGCUGGAGAAUCACCGCACCUUUCUGGGCCCCACGGAGUGACAGAAGAUCGGAAUGGAUAGUCACAUGCCUGCCCCAGCGUGGAAGGAGAAGAGCCUAUGCUUCCAUCCAUUCUGGCCUCUUCCAAGUUCCCCUCAUUUCUCUAAGAUCAAAUAAAUAAACAUGUUGUUAUUA